GGGGAUUUAGCUCAGCGGCAUAAGCACCUGCCUUGCAAGCAGGAGGUCAUGAGUGCGAUCCCCG
rnacentral:tRNA from 1 species